ensembl:ncRNA asRNA:CR44386 antisense RNA:CR44386
UCAGUCCGUGGUGGUUUGCUAACCAGUAUGGUGUUAUCAUCCAUAGUUAUAUCACUUUUCUGCGAAUACCGCUCGCAAUUGUUCUUGCUGGGCCUUCGCUGCUGCCUCCUUGGAUUCCGCACCCUGGUUCACCGCCUUCCAACCCAGCCAGCCGACGGUGUGGAGCACCAGGACGGCGAUUCCGAUCCGGACAGCUGGCCCGUAUUUAAAGGAAGAACGGACAUCGUUUUUGGAACUGUUCAUAACAAAAACACUCUAAACUGGCGGCAAGCAAGAAUCAACUGAUUGCACGGCUACGAAACUUACGAUCGAUGGAAUGAAUCAGUUCCAAAUUAUAUUUAGUGAAUUCGAAGUGAAUUCAUAAGCUAAGUCAAAAUGCAGAAGAAAGAAAAUUAAACAUAAGAUCCAUGACAAUAAUACCCGAUUAUAUAAAAAAACAAUUAAGCUUAACUUUCUUCAAAAUAGAAUAGUUGUUAAAAGAAUAGAAUUGUUUCAAACAGAAAAGCCUUAACUACCAUAACUGCCGAAAGCCAAAUGAAAAUACCUUCUGGCAGGGAAU